ACAGGGCCCCAUGAAGGGGAAGGGUGAGCAGCAAGCAGACUCUGUGGCAGGGCUAUGCCUAUGCCCACAAAUCUGUCACACAGGUAUGAGAUGCAUGUUGAACUUCUAUAGCCUCCACGGCCACCAUACAGACAGAGAACAUGCUACCUACAAACGCCUGUCUUUCUGCCCCCAGAUAGCAUCCCUCCCAUGGAUCCUGAGUCCGUGGUGCUGGCACAUGGGGAAUCUCUAGAAUUAGGGGCUGAGGAAGAGGGCAUGACAGCUUAAAUGCAAGUGCUACUUGGAUUUCUUAAUUUAGGUCAAAAUUUGAGCCAAGACUAUUAACUGAAGAGAACACCCACGGAGUUUCCACAGGCUGACAGCCAGAGGAGGAAAAUUAGUGGUGAUAAGAAAAGCAGCAGGAACUGACCGGCCAUGGUGCGGAAGAGUAUGACUCUGAGACCCGCCAGAAACAGUUCGCAUGUGAAAGGGAAUCUUGCUUCUUCAACAAUUCUGAUUUUAUCCACUGGUUAAGUGAGCGUGUGAUGCCAGUGCAGCAGAGUUAGUCUCCCGCCUCUUCCCACUGCCAGGCCCCAAUCCCUGAGCAAGCCUUAUGGCCACACUGGAAGCUGAUAACAAUGCGGAACCUGAGCGACAUCUGUACCUUAGCAUCUCUGUGGAUGAGCUCUCACCACAAAGGACCCUAAAGGAUUUCUAUGACAACCAGCAAGGGGGCAUAAAAGAGUGUCAGUAUUAUGCCUCUUUCAAUGGCUUGGGCAGCCUGUCACUUUUGAACCACCAAUCACAUUACUGCCAUGUUUAAGUAAGUUGGACAAUUAACACGAUCACUUUAUAACUGACAAA